GGUCGUCCUUACAUAAAAACAAGUCAUAAAUGCCAGCUACACAUGUCGGCUACAUCUGCCUCACAUUACAUGAUAAGAAAAUAACAAGUCUACGGAUCAUUACAGUAACAACCUAUAAUUUCAUCCAAUAAAAUUAAUCAAAAAUAUUUUUUAAAUUUUUUGAUCUUAUAUAAAUAUUUAAAAUCUAUCUAUUAUUUAAUCAAAAUUAAUAAUUAAUAUACAUCAGUAGGGGUCCUCACAAUUACAAACAUAACAUAGUCC
rnacentral:lncRNA from 1 species